rnacentral:rRNA from 1 species
UAGCUAGUUGGUGAGGUAACGGCCCACCAAGGCGACGAUCGGUAGCCGGACUGAGAGGUUGAACGGCCACAUUGGGACUGAGACACGGCCCAGACUCCUACGGGAGGCAGCAGUGGGGAAUAUUGCACAAUGGGGGAAACCCUGAUGCAGCGACGCCGCGUGGAGGAAGAAGGUCUUCGGACUGUAAACUCCUGUUGUUGAGGAAGAUAAUGACGGUACUCAACAAGGAAGUGACGGCUAACUACGUGCCAGCAGCCGCGGUAAAACGUAGGUCACAAGCGUUGUCCGGAAUUACUGGGUGUAAAGGGAGCGCAGGCGGGAAGACAAGUUGGAAGUGAAAUCCAUGGGCCCAACCCAUGAACUGCUUUCAAAACUGUUUUUCUUGAGUAGUGCAGAGGUAGGCGGAAUUCCCGGUGUAGCGGUGGAAUGCGUAGAUAUCGGGAGGAACACCAGUGGCGAAGGCGGCCUACUGGGCACCAACUGACGCUGAGGCUCGAAAGUGUGGGUAGCAAACAGGAUUAGAUACCCUGGUAGUCCACACUGUAAACGAUGAUUACUAGGUGUUGGAGGAUUGACCCCUUCAGUGCCGCAGUUAACACAAUAAGUAAUCCACCUGGGGAGUACGACCGCAAGGUUGAAACUCAAAGGAAUUGACGGGGGCCCGCACAAGCAGUGGAGUAUGUGGUUUAAUUCGACGCAACGCGAAGAACCUUACCAAGUCUUGACAUCCUGCGACGCACAUAGAAAUAUGUGUUUCCUUCGGGACGCAGAGACAGGUGGUGCAUGGUUGUCGUCAGCUCGUGUCGUGAGAUGUUGGGUUAAGUCCCGCAACGAGCGCAACCCUUAUGGUCAGUUACUACGCAAGAGGACUCUGGCCAGACUGCCGUUGACAAAACGGAGGAAGGUGGGGAUGACGUCAAAUCAUCAUGCCCUUUAUGACCAGGGCUACACACGUACUACAAUGGCGUUAAACAAAGAGAAGCAAGACCGCGAGGUGGAGCAAAACUCAGAAACAACGUCCCAGUUCGGACUGCAGGCUGCAACUCGCCUGCACGAAGUCGGAAUUGCUAGUAAUCGCAGAUCAGCAUGCUGCGGUGAAUACGUUCCCGGGCCUUGUACACACCGCCCGUCACACCAUGAGAGCCGGGGGGACCCGAAGUCGGUAGUCUAACCGCAAGGAGGACGCCGCCGAAGGUAAAACUGGUGAUUGGGGUGAAGUCGUAACAAGGUAA